rnacentral:misc_RNA from 1 species
AAAGUCGUAACAAGGUAACCGUAGGUGAACCUGCGGUUGGAUCAUUAAAAAAUCCUUUUUUUGGUUCGCUUUGAGGGGAAACCUUUGAAGAGGAACCAGAAAAAUUAACCCUGUGUGCAAACACUGCUGUCUCUGGUGGUCGAAUUGAUCCUGCCUACUGUUCGAAAUUCUUCUUGUUGCUGAAGUUAUUUGGCUGCGGUCGAGUUUUGGACUUGGGUGGGUGUUAGUUUUGCCACCGAAAUGUUUUUAACCUUUUGUUUUGGAAGUGUCCUCAGGGAUGUUUUCAUUUUAUGAUUUAUUGUUUAUUCUUAAUCUGUUUUGCCUUUGUUGGUAAAAUUGGAAAUUACAAACAACUUUUGACAACGGAUCUCUUGGCUCUU